rnacentral:rRNA from 1 species
UACAGAGGAGCCAAGCGUUGUCCGGAUUGACUGGGCGUAAAGCGCACGCAGGCGGAUGUGCGCGUGGGGUGUGAAAUCUGGCCGCUUAACGGCCAGGCGCCAUCCCAUACGGCACGUCUGGAGGGCUGCAGAGGUCGAUGGAAUUGCCGGUGUAGUGGUGAAAUGCGUAGAGAUCGGGAGGAAUACCUAUGGCGAAAGCAGGCUUCUGGGCCAUCACUGACACUGAUCUGCGAAAGCUAGGGGAGCAAACAGG